CGGACGGGUGAGUAACGCGUGAGGAACCUGCCUUGGAGAGGGGAAUAACACUCCGAAAGGAGUGCUAAUACCGCAUGAUGCAGUUGGGUCGCAUGGCUCUGACUGCCAAAGAUUUAUCGCUCUGAGAUGGCCUCGCGUCUGAUUAGCUAGUAGGCGGGGUAACGGCCCACCUAGGCGACGAUCAGUAGCCGGACUGAGAGGUUGACCGGCCACAUUGGGACUGAGACACGGCCCAGACUCCUACGGGAGGCAGCAGUGGGGAAUAUUGGGCAAUGGGCGCAAGCCUGACCCAGCAACGCCGCGUGGAGGAAGAAGGCUUUCGGGUUGUAAACUUCUUUUGUCGGGGACGAAACAAAUGACGGUACCCGACGAAUAAGCCACGGCUAACUACGUGCCAGCAGCCGCGGUAAUACGUAGGUGGCAAGCGUUAUCCGGAUUUACUGGGUGUAAAGGGCGUGUAGGCGGGAUUGCAAGUCAGAUGUGAAAACUGGGGGCUC
rnacentral:rRNA from 1 species